UACAUAAUUAAAAUUUAAUUCAAAAAAAAAUUCCUAAUAAUCCAAAACAAUUGCAUAACUGGCCAAAAAGAGAAAUUCCAAAUUAAGUUUGUACAUGUUACAAGCAAUCCCUAAGUUCAUAAUCCAAAAGAUCUCUGUUACAUCAGAAAUAAUUUUAUUAAAAAAUUGGAAUAAGCUGUAAACACAGCAGUUUGAAGCAAAUUUCACAGACUCUUCCAAAAGCUCUUUUGGAAGUUCCCAAUUCAAAACCAACUCUUCAGAACUUUUCCAAAACCUGUUGAAUAACAACCCCCAUUUUUCAAUCAAUCAGCAUCAACAUCACUUCACAUGCAAAACCAAUUCAAAAUUAAAAAACAGCUUAUCAAAUAAGCACUUAAAAAGCUGGAAAAUAAUUAAUAGAAAGAGAAGAUUAAUAUGUUACACAAUGAAUCAAAGAAAGCGGUCAGAAACACACUGCAUUAUCCAAAUAAACAACUUUAAAUUCAUAGAUUAAUCAUCCCACAAAAUCUGGAAAUAGGAUCCAACAAGUUAUCUCACAGAAACCAACAUUCAUGUAUAUAAACCACAAAACUAAUUAACAGUAACAGAGGUUUUUUUUGAUAAAAUCCAGAAGAAAUUUUCAAAGUAAUCUUUUCUCUGUUAACUCCAAAGAACAAAAAACACAGUAAAACAAUUCUUCAAAAAAACCUAAAUCACAACAACAACAGCAAACACAGCAAGUUACUUUCAAAAAGCUCUUAAAAAAGGUUAAUAGCAAAGCACAACAUCAAGAACAACCGAGCGAUUUUUGUUUUUUUUUUGCAAAACCAGAACACAACAACCAUAAUAUUUCUCAAAAAAACCUAAAAAACGAAAACAGAAGGAGAAAGCUUAUCUGGAGACGGGAGAGAGAAGGCAUCAGCGUCGACGACUUCAUCUUCUUCUCCUUCCAACAGAUCGUUCAAACACCUCCUCAACCGACUCCGACAACGAAUCUCUCUCGAUCUCUUCUCGUUUCUCGCUUUCCUCUUCUUUUUCUUUUUUUUUCGUUUUAAGUUAACCUAGGUGGGUCUGUUUCGGGCCUUCCAGAUUUG
rnacentral:lncRNA from 1 species